UACGUAGGGUGCAAGCGUUGUCCGGAAUUAUUGGGCGUAAAGAGCUCGUAGGCGGUUUGUCGCGUCUGCUGUGAAAACUCGGGGCUUAACUCCGGGCCUGCAGUGGGUACGGGCAGACUAGAGUGCGGUAGGGGAGACUGGAAUUCCUGGUGUAGCGGUGAAAUGCGCAGAUAUCAGGAGGAACACCGGUGGCGAAGGCGGGUCUCUGGGCCGGUACUGACGCUGAGGAGCGAAAGCGUGGGGAGCGAACAGG
rnacentral:rRNA from 1 species